rnacentral:lncRNA from 1 species
CCGGGGCUCACGCCAUUCUCCUGCCUCAGCCUCUCGAGUAUCUUGGACUACAGGCGCCCGCCACCCGGCCCAGCUAAUUUUUUUUUUUUUUUUUUUUAGAGAUGGGGUUUGACUGUGUUGGCCAGGAUGGUCUCGAUCUCUUGACCUCGUGAUCCGCCUGUCUCAGCCUCCCAAAGUGCUGGGGUUACAGGCGUAAGCCACCGCGCCCGGCCGUUUGUUUUUUUGAGACAGAGUCUCGCUCUGUCACCCAGGCUGGGGUGCAGUGGUGUGAUAUCGGCUCACUGCAAUCUCCGCCUCCCAGGUUCAAGCGAAUGGUAUUUUCUUGAUUGUGUGGUUGUUGAUGUAGUUGUGGGAGGUUGAGGUUCAAUCCCAGGAUGCAGCCCCCUCUAGUUGCACUCACUGGGGUUGAUGUGAAUGUAGAUGUGGGCUGAUGGCUAAGGCCAUACGGGAACUCUGAACAUGCGCUAUCUUGUCUGAUCUCAGAAAGUCUUUGAAUUGUAGUGCUGUCUUCGUUUUGCUGUUGAAUAGGAAAGCAGGAUAGAGUCUCAUGUAUCCUGGAUUUUAUACUGCUGUUGUAAGCAGAGUUAGACCUGCUUAGUAUGUGAUGCUCUUCUGUGGUAUGUUUGUCUCCAGUGUUCUCUGGGGUCUAGGAAGGUUUGGCCUUUAAAAUUAAGCUACCACUGCUUUACCCAAAAUGUUGUUUCACAGCUUUCAUCAAAUUACCUAUCAGGGCAAAGUUUAUCCAUGUGAAUAAUAGAGACAGGAGGUGGCCAGGGGUCCCUGGUGAAACCCUGCCUUCAAGCCUAAAACCCUGAAGGCUGAAAAAC